rnacentral:rRNA from 1 species
AGGCUUAACACAUGCAAGUCGAGCGCGUAGCAAUACGAGCGGCAGACGGGUGAGUAACGCGUGGGAAUCUACCCUUUUCUACGGAAUAACGCAGGGAAACUUGUGCUAAUACCGUAUAAGCCCUUCGGGGGAAAGAUUUAUCGGGAAAGGAUGAGCCCGCGUUGGAUUAGCUAGUUGGUGGGGUAAAGGCCUACCAAGGCGACGAUCCAUAGCUGGUCUGAGAGGA